rnacentral:rRNA from 1 species
GAGAUCAUUACCGAGUGAGGGCCCUCUGGGUCCAACCUCCCACCCGUGUUUAUUUUACCUUGUUGCUUCGGCGGGCCCGCCUUAACUGGCCGCCGGGGGGCUUACGCCCCCGGGCCCGCGCCCGCCGAAGACACCCUCGAACUCUGUCUGAAGAUUGAAGUCUGAGUGAAAAUAUAAAUUAUUUAAAACUUUCAACAACGGAUCUCUUGGUUCCGGCAUCGAUGAAGAACGCAGCGAAAUGCGAUACGUAAUGUGAAUUGCAAAUUCAGUGAAUCAUCGAGUCUUUGAACGCACAUUGCGCCCCCUGGUAUUCCGGGGGGCAUGCCUGUCCGAGCGUCAUUGCUGCCCUCAAGCCCGGCUUGUGUGUUGGGCCCCGUCCCCCGAUCUCCGGGGGACGGGCCCGAAAGGCAGCGGCGGCACCGCGUCCGGUCCUCGAGCGUAUGGGGCUUUGUCACCCGCUCUGUAGGCCCGGCCGGCGCUUGCCGAUCAACCCAAAUUUUUAUCCAGGUUGACCUCGGAUCAGGUAGGGAUACCCGCUGAACUUAAGCAUAUCAAUA